CAAGUGUUGUUGAUUUUUCCGUAAACACUUCAUGAUUCCUCUGUUAUAAAAGGAAAUGGAGAAUCGCCCUGCACUCUGCCCCGCCGAUGCCACAAUGCGUCAUACAAUCCUAGUUUUCCUUUCCCUCGGUGUUGUUGGGUCGGCUGUGGCAACAUCAUACGAGAAAAGUGCCAAUGAUUCCAAGGCUGUCUGCUAUAGCCCCUAUACUGCCAUGCGGAUCGCGUUUUUUUGUCGAUCACCAGACAGAUGGAAGCUGGUAUGACAUGCGAGAGUACUGUAA